rnacentral:rRNA from 1 species
UACGUAGGCAGCGAGCGUUGUUCGGAGUUACUGGGCGUAAAGGGCGCGUAGGCGGUCAGCACAAGUCAGUUGUGAAAUCUCCGGGCUUAACUCGGAACGGUCAAGUGAUACUGUCGGACUAGAGUACAGAAGGGGCAACUGGAAUUCUCGGUGUAGCGGUGAAAUGCGUAGAUAUCGAGAGGAACACCUGCGGCGAAGGCGGGUUGCUGGGCUGAUACUGACGCUGAGGCGCGAAAGCCAGGGGAGCAAACGGG